GACAGAGGGUGCAAACGUUGUUCGGAAUUACUGGGCGUAAAGCGCGUGUAGGCGGCUGCGCAAGUCGGAUGUGAAAUCCCGUGGCUCAACCACGGAAGUGCACCCGAAACUGCGUAGCUUGAGUCUCGGAGAGGAAGGUGGAAUGCUUGGUGUAGAGGUGAAAUUCGUAGAUAUCGGGAGGAACACCGGUGGCGAAGGCGGCGACCUGGGUCGAUACUGACGCUGAGGUGCGAAAGCGUGGGGAGCAAACAGG
rnacentral:rRNA from 1 species